rnacentral:pre_miRNA from 1 species
UUAGUACUCCCUUCGUCUCAAAAUUCUUGUUUUAGAUUUGUCUAGAUACAGAUGUAUCUAAUACUAAAAUGUGACUUGAUACAUCCGUAUUUAGACAAAUCUAAGACAAGAAUUUUGGGACGGAGGAAGUAUUAU